AGUGAACGCUGGCGGUAGGCCUAACACAUGCAAGUCGAACGGCAGCACAGUAAGAGCUUGCUCUUACGGGAGGCGAGUGGCGGACGGGUGAGGAAUACAUCGGAAUCUACUUUUUCGUGGGGGAUAACGUAGGGAAACUUACGCUAAUACCGCAUACGACCUACGGGUGAAAGCAGGGGAUCUUCGGACCUUUCGCGAUUGAAUGAGCCGAUGUCGGAUUGGCUAGUUGGCGGGGUAAAGGCCCACCAAGGCGGCGAUCCGUAGCUGGUCUGAGAGGAUGAUCAGCCACACUGGAACUGAGACACGGUCCAGACUCCUACGGGAGGCAGCAGUGGGGAAUAUUGGACAAUGGGCGCAAGACUGAUCCAGCCAUACCGCGUGGGUGAAGAAGGCCUUCGGGUUGUAAAGCCCUUUUGUUGGGAAAGAAAAGCAGCAGGUUAAUACCCCGCUGUUCUGACGGUACCCAAAGAAUAAGCACCGGCUAACUUCGUG
rnacentral:rRNA from 1 species